rnacentral:rRNA from 1 species
UACGGAGGGGGCUAGCGUUGUUCGGAAUUACUGGGCGUAAAGCGCACGUAGGCGGCUUUGUAAGUUAGAGGUGAAAGCCCAGGGCUUAACCCUGGAAUUGCCUUUAAGACUGCAUCGCUAGAAUCGUGGAGAGGUGAGUGGAAUUCCGAGUGUAGAGGUGAAAUUCGUGGAUAUUCGGAAGAACACCAGUGGCGAAGGCGACUCACUGGACACGUAUUGACGCUGAGGUGCGAAAGCGUGGGGAGCAAACAGG